rnacentral:tRNA from 1 species
GGGGUCGUAGCUCAGUCGGGAGAGCGCGUCGUUCGCAAUGACGAGGUCAGGGGUUCGAUUCCCCUCGGCUCCACCA